CACUGGAGCCUUUAGUGGUUUAGUGUCCUCGUUCUUUUUUUACCUCGUUCUGUAGUGCUUUGUCCGUGGACACGAUUGAGUUGGAGGUCAGCUUCCUUGGCAGCCUGCCUGCAGCUGGACAGCUGCGGUGCCCAAAUAGGUGAUGUCCUUGUCCUUGGUGAAUCACGCAGCUGGAUCUACAGGCCCAUGAUUUGUCCCUGUGAAACCAACUUCUGGCCCCAGCUCCUCGCGGCCUUUACCAUCUCAGUAGAAGAUAGGUAAACUCCGCAAACCGGAAGCUUCAUACCCAUGCCCCUUAUGGCUGCCUGCCUUUGAUACCUCCUCUUCUACCCUGAAUGAGGCCUGGGUGAUGACAAUAUGUGUCUCUGCAGAGUCUCUCACUGAACUAGGAGUCCACAGCUUCAGCUGGUCGCCGCCCUGCUCCUGGGGUUCCCUGUGUCUCAGGAGUCCACAGCUUCAGCUGGUCGCCGCCCUGCUCCUGGGGUUCCCUGUGUCCAGGUAGUCCUGAAUGGUAUAAGAUCACAGGCUGAGCAAUUUGUGAGAAAAAGUCAGUAAGCAGCACUCCUUCGUGGCUUCUGAUUUAGUCCCUGCUUCCUGGUUCCUGCCCUGAGUUCCUGCCUUGAUUUCCCUGGAGAAUGGACUUAGAAGCAGCAAGAGUUAUAAAAUCUAGCUUGAAUUUACCAGUAUAAAGGCAUGACAUCCAUGGCAGAGGCUCAUAAGCCGUGACCUAAGGCAAACUGGAAAGCGAGUGGAGAUGAAGUAUGAGGACUUUUCUCAUGCCCUCACAGCACCCUUGUGUUAUGGUACAGUGAAGUGCUUUAAGUGUGGACACUCAAGGGUUUCCGAGAUGGCAGACAUUGCCGUUCCAACAAGUUAGUUUUCUUUGUAAAAGUAAACAGCCUGCUCAAGGGCAAGUUCACAGUUACGGCGCCACUUACCGAAUGUCUGAGAAAUUCUUACUUCCUGUUUAGAAAAGCCACUAGAAAGGUCACCCCUGCAAUAGAACUCAGGACAUUUCUGUCAUUUCCCAUCCAUUCCGAUGUUCUCCAUCCAGGAGGAGGAGGAAGAGGAUGAGAUUGCCACCCCCAUCACACCCGGCGAGUUGUCAGAACACUGUGUUAGAGUUUAAGACGCUGUUUCUUCUGAUUGAACCCCAAAGCAAUCAUCAUGGUAGUACUGUUGUCCUCUGGAGGCACGUUCGUGUCCUUACCCCUGUUCCCGGGAUUGUGGCCAGUUCUUAGCAUCCUUGACUCUUCUCUCCCACUCUACUGGUCACGCCACCCUGCUCUGUG